UACGUAGGGGGCUAGCGUUGUCCGGAAUCAUUGGGCGUAAAGCGCGUGUAGGCGGCCAGGUAGGUCGGCUGUGAAAACUCGAGGCUCAACCUCGAGCUGUCGGCCGAAACCAUCUGGCUAGAGUCCGGAAGAGGAGAGUGGAAUUCCCGGUGUAGCGGUGAAAUGCGCAGAUAUCGGGAAGAACACCCGUGGCGAAGGCGGCUCUCUGGGACGGUACUGACGCUGAGACGCGAAAGCGUGGGGAGCGAACAGG
rnacentral:rRNA from 1 species